GUGGGGAAUAUUGGACAAUGGGCGAAAGCCUGAUCCAGCCAUGCCGCGUGUGUGAAGAAGGUCUUCGGAUUGUAAAGCACUUUAAGUUGGGAGGAAGGGCAGUAAGUUAAUACCUUGCUGUUUUGACGUUACCGACAGAAUAAGCACCGGCUAACUUCGUGCCAGCAGCCGCGGUAAUACGAAGGGUGCAAGCGUUAAUCGGAAUUACUGGGCGUAAGGCGCGCGUAGGUGGUUUUGUAAGUUGGAGGUGAAAUCCCCGGGCUCAACCUGGGAACUGCCUCCAAAACGGAAGGACUAGAGUACGGUAGAGGGUAGUGGAAUUGCCUGUGUAGCGGUGAAAUGCGUAGAUAUAGGAAGGAACACCAGUGGCGAAGGCGACUACCUGGACUGAUACUGACACUGAGGUGCGAAAGCGUGGGGAGCAAACAGGAUUAGAAACCCGGGUAGUCC
rnacentral:rRNA from 1 species